GUAGGAAUUGAGUGAAGAAAAAGUUUGCAAGUCUGGACAGAAGGGAAAAGUUCUCCUGAGAGACCGGCUUUGGGGAGGGGAGGGGGGAAGGAAGAGUAGCUCCUUCUUCUUCUUCUUUUUUUUUUCUUCCACUCUUAAAAAGCUUCUUUCUCUUCACCCAAGCCUCACUGUCCCUCUCCGGCUCUAGCUCUCUCCAUAUAAACCCUCAAGAUUAUGUCAAUUGGUUAGAGCCAGCCGGGAAUUUCGUGCGGGUGCUGAAGGAGCUGCGGGAGCCGGAGAAGAAUGAAACUGCGUGGAGUCAGCCUGGCUGCCGGCUUGUUCUUACUGGCCCUGAGUCUUUGGGGGCAGCCUGCAGAGGCUGCGAUGAGAAAACUACAAAUUACAGACGUUGAAUACAUUCCCAGAAAUCCAGUCAUGUAGGCAGUAACUUGUGAAGCUGGAAAAUUUGAAUCCAGGCAGUUUGACUCUAGAAUCUUUGCCCUUAAUGACUGUCCUAUACUGCCUACUUUGUAUGUGGUCUAUAGAGAUUUACUGGUGUGUAAAGUAUUUGGAUCUCUGCCACUU
rnacentral:lncRNA from 10 species